AGAGUUUGAUCCUGGCUCAGAAUCAACGCUGGCGGCGCGCUUAACACAUGCUNGUCGAACGAGAAAGUGGAGCAAUCCAUGAGUAAAGUGGCGUACGGGUGAGUAACACGUGGGUGAUCUACCUUUUAGUGAGGAAUAACGAUGGGAAACCGUCGCUAAUACCGCAUAAGCCCCUAAUCCGGAAGGAAAGGCGGGGAAAGUCGCAAGACGCUGAAAGAGGAGCCCGCGGCCGAUUAGCUAGUUGGUGAGGUAAGAGCCCACCAAGGCAGAGAUCGGUAGCCGGCCUGAGAGGGCACACGGCCACACUGGCACUGAAACACGGGCCAGACUCCUACGGGAGGCAGCAGUGGGGAAUCUUGCACAAUGGGGGAAACCCUGAUGCAGCGACGCCGCGUGAGCGAUGAAGCCCUUCGGGGUGUAAAGCUCUUUCGUCA
rnacentral:rRNA from 1 species